rnacentral:rRNA from 1 species
AGUGAACGCUGGCGGUAGGCCUAACACAUGCAAGUAGAACGGCAGCACAGUAAGAGCUUGCUCUUACGGGUGGCGAGUGGCGGACGGGUGAGGAAUACAUCGGAAUCUACUUUUUCGUGGGGGAUAACGUAGGGAAACUUACGCUAAUACCGCAUACGACCUACGGGUGAAAGCAGGGGAUCUUCGGACCUUGCGCGAUUGAAUGAGCCGAUGUCGAAUUAGCUAGUUGGCGGGGUAAAGGCCCACCAAGGCGACGAUCCGUAGCUGGUCUGAGAGGAUGAUCAGCCACACUGGAACUGAGACACGGUCCAGACUCCUACGGGAGGCAGCAGUGGGGAAUAUUGGACAAUGGGCGCAAGCCUGAUCCAGCCAUACCGCGUGGGUGAAGAAGGCCUUCGGGUUGUAAAGCCCUUUUGUUGGGAAAGAAAAGCAGCAGGUUAAUACCCCGCUGUUCUGACGGUACCCAAAGAAUAAGCACCGGCUAACUUCGUG